GGAGGCGCGGCUUGUCCGGUGAUGGGCGCGGUCUUCAAAACCGUAGUGACAGCGCGAGAGCGUCGUCAGGUGGGUUCGACUCCCACACGCCUCCGCCA
rnacentral:tRNA from 1 species